CGGUCGCCACCAAUCGUCGAGGUCCAGCUCCGUGCACCCCGGAUCUCCCUUUCCAGCACCCCCCGGAUCUCCCCCUUCCAGCGCCCACCCCCUCCCCCCGGCUGCGCCGCUGUGGCCUGUGGCCUGCGGCUGCUGUCCUGUUCGUCGUGUCCGGCGACGCGGCGAGGGCGCAAGGCGGAGAACCCGGCUAGGGCGCGAGUGGUGCGAGGCUGCAGCCUGCAGGCAGCUCGGCGUCCAGCGAGGUAGUCACUUUCUCUCCUGACUGUUUUCUCUGUUUCUUAGUACAGUUUUGAUGGCUUGAUGCCCUGUUUUUGUUUAUAGAUGCCAUCUAUUGUUUAUAGAUGCCAUCUUAGUACGGCGAACCCGAUUUCAAGGUUAUCGCACACGUAAAGGUGUUUUGACUCGUCCUACACGUAAGUUUUCACAUUUUGCAUCUAUUGUUAAUUAGUUUUGCCCGCUAUAUUAUGCACUGAUUCGCAUUUCAAAAUUGAUGAUUGAAGGUUUAGCGAUGUCUGCUAUUGAAGAUGUACUCAUGGGAGGCUCGGAUCAACCAAUCAUUUGAUUUGGUAUCAAUCUUCUGUAUCAUUUAUCUAUGCCACAUAUUGUCUUUUGAUUUGUCUUGCUUUAUUAGUUGACCCAUUAUGGAACAAAUGCUGCCAUUGAAUAUCAUGUUUGGUUUCUUAUUAGUUAUGCAAAACAUAGAUUGAUUCUUGUAUGCCUUGAAAUUGAAGUUUUUUCUGGGUAGUUUUUAGCCAUUAGUUGUUCGCCUGGGGCGUCAAUAAUUCCUGGGUCCGCCACUGCCGACGGUGACCCGGUGGGAGGCACGAGAAACCCUAGCCAAAGGUCCUCUUUCUUUCUUUCUGUGGAAGAAAGAAAACGGGCGGCAUGUAAGCAAGCCUGUCAGGUGCACGACACAGCUGAGAUUGUAGUGUUUUGUCAAAAAAGUUGUAAGUUUUUAGGAAUCCUAAGAGGUAGUUUUUCUUUAUUUACUUUUUUAUGAGAAUCUUUAAAACCUUUACUUCUACGGGACACUAGUCACACUACGCAUGUGUGACGCGUUGGUUCACCUUUGGAAAAUACCACAUGGUUCAGACUCCUGUUCAAGUCGUCACCAGUAACCUCAGCCACAAGAUAACACGUUAAUUUCAACAUGACGUGCUGUGUCAGGUAAACCAAUUCAACGGAUGUUCUUGGAAAUUUUCAUGUGACUCGGUCAGUGACGACUGGUCAUGUCCGUAUCAUCCCUGUGGCAAUCUCUACUAAUUUUGUGUUUACCGGGCAGGGAAAUUUUAGGCAGUUAGAUUGAAAAGUUGUACAUGAAUUUUAGGCAUCUUAAUUGUAUGACUUUAAUACACUCAUGUGUAAUGUUGAUAUGUAUCAAUAUUACCGAGCCAUUUUACUUUGUGUGGUGUAUAGUUUCACCAUCAGUCGACUCUCCUGGGUAAAUAUUAUGUACUUUGCUAUUUUGUCAAGCUAUUAUUAAAGGUGAAUCCUUAUCGAGUAUAUAGUCUUUUUUUGCAAGCUAAUGGUUAUAUAUGUUGUGUACACGCAAAAAAAAUAUGUUGUGUAAAUGUGACACUUUGAGUCAAUCAAACUCCAUUUAUAUUUACCCAAAUAACUAAUCCUCAAGCUUGCAUUCAGGAGGAUACAAAGCUUGCCAUUAUGAACUGUGAGCUGAUCUGUCUAGAAGUUGUAGAUCUGUACUGGUUAAAUCAUAUUGUAGUAGACGUGAAUAAUUUGUAGGUUAUUUGUGAAAUUACAAUUGGGUAAUUCUGAAAUUACAAUGAUAUGUUAAAACUAAGUUUAGACCGAGUGUAAUUCAACUCUAGGGCUAUGUAGGCGUAAUCAAGAUCAAAAUUUAACUAAAAUGGGACCAUAUCAGACAUAUGGCAUUAGCCAUUUCAAUGGUGCCCAAGGAACAUAUUUGAACUGUGCCGAGUUUGCUGAAAAGCCAGCCGUAAACCUACUUAAUAUCGAAUAUGGUAUCUUUUUCGUGGGGAUAAAUGAAAAUAUGAGGUAGAAGCUUUCCGUUGGAACUUGAGUUUUUACGAAAGAUCCAAAAAAAGGUUCCUGUGUCAUAGCUUCUCCAAACAGUUGUCUGAUCCAAUAAUACAAAUGAAUAAGUUUUGGGUAUUGGUAGUAAUUUUCUAUUCAUAUUUAUAAAUUUGUUAUUUUAGGUAUGAAACUCUUUUAGUAAAUUUAAAUAGUACCCCAUUCAUUUCAAUACACGGUGCAUAUAGAAUUUCUCAAACUUGUAAAGUUUGGUCUAGCCAACUUGCUCAAACUUUAGAAAGUUUGACUAAGAACACAAUCUAUAUGCACUAUAUUUGGCAUGGUGUAAUGCAUUAUAUAUGUUGAGAUUUGAAAUCUUUUGUUAGGUGGAGUAUAGUUUACCUCACCGCUGAAGAGAUCAACGUUGAUAACUGGUGAAGUACACAUAUAUGUCAUUGUCUUAAUCUGUUCUUUCCAAUCUAUGUGCAGUCAACUAUCUUCGUCGGGACAAUUGUCGCCGUAAAUAAACCGUGAACUGAAGUACGGAAAACGUGUGCAUGCUUGAUUUGUUGGGUUAGGUACAUAAUCAUCAUAUAGAUUGUUCGAUUUCCCAAGAAAUGAGCGAAGUUGGAAAAAGUGUACCACUGGGAAUGAAGGUUUGGCCAGCUCUCUGGGAGUAACUUCAAGAUCACCAAGAUUAUGUAAUCAUAUUGUUGGCUCAUUGAAAAGUUUAAUGUCGCCUUCUACAUGCAUUUUGACAUAACUGUUGCUAAAAUUUUGAAUAUUUCAAUAUAAUCACAAUGAUUCUAGACGAGUGAUUUUCUGAAAUGCGCAAUUUUUUAGAUACUUUAUUUACAAUGCAAGGCAGGAG
rnacentral:lncRNA from 1 species